UCCCACCCCAGGUGUGAUCACUUUGCCCUCCCUGCUCACUCCCCUUUAUAAUCUGCCCCAAGAGAGGCAGAAGCCCUAAGUUUGCCCAACUGGGCAGAGGGAUCCUCAUCCCAUCGUCACUGGCUGCUUCUGCUUUAGCUGCUUCUUUUUGCUGAGCUGUGAAACUGUGAAAAGGAGAGGAGGAAACCUGCAAAGUGUUUUGAGAAGCACUGAAUGAGCAUGGAGGAAAUGUCUGAGAAUCCCUCACAAGAGAAGGUUCUCAGACAUUGGAAUGGUCUGCCCAGGGCAGUGCUGGAGUCCUCAUCCCUGAAGGUGUUCUGGGGCCUGUGGAGCUGUGCUUCUGGACGUGGUUUGGUGUUGACUGACCCUGCAGUGCUGGCUCAAAGUUUGGACUGGAUGAGCUUGGAGGGCUUUUCCAACCGGACGCUUUUGCUGUGCUUUCUGCUUUCUGAAGUGGAGAAAAUGAAAUGACAAUCUAGAAGUAAAACAAGUGGAGGCCACACCAGACGUGUACAUUCCAUCACUGGACUGCCUGAUUCCAAUAAGUGCUUGCUCAAAUUUGGCUCUGCUUCCUUUGUGUACUGGGGAAUCAGAAUACUUUUAGUAUGGGCAAGAGGUCAAAUUUCUUCCUUCAUACAUCCCUCUGCUUCAAAAGUGAAGCAAUUAAUUGCUAAUCAUCUGUUUUUCACUCAUUAGAGAUUUCUUCUAUCUUCUUUUUACUUUCAGCCUGUGCUCAUGACAUUUCCUUUCCAUUUGUGCUUCUGACAGGUUUUGAAUCUGUAACUGUUUGGAACUUUCUGUUUUCCUGUUUGUGGAAACUCAUUAGUUUGAUUGUCAUUUUUUUUUCUCAGAACUUUAUCUCAACUCUUAGUAAACCCCAGAAAUACAUCUUUAUGCUAGUUUGAGCCUAGCUGGGAGAUUGUAGUGAUAGGAAUUAGAUUAUAGGCUGUGAAAAGGAAACGAUGCUGAUGUCUACUUCACUCACAGACUUGCUGAGAUGUAUAAGAACACA